AGUGAACGCUGGCGGUAGGCCUAACACAUGCAAGUCGAACGGCAGCACAGUAAGAGCUUGCUCUUACGGGUGGCGAGUGGCGGACGGGUGAGGAAUACAUCGGAAUCUACUUUUUCGUGGGGGAUAACGUAGGGAAACUUACGCUAAUACCGCAUACGACCUACGGGUGAAAGCAGGGGAUCUUCGGACCUUGCGCGAUUGAAUGAGCCGAUGUCGGUUUAGCUAGUUGGCGGGGUAAAGGCCCACCAAGGCGACGAUCCGUAGCUGGUCUGAGAGGAUGAUCAGCCACACUGGAACUGAGACACGGUCCAGACUCCUACGGGAGGCAGCAGUGGGGAAUAUUGGACAAUGGCCGCAAGCCUGAUCCAGCCAUACCGCGUGGGUGAAGAAGGCCUUCGGGUUGUAAAGCCCUUUUGUUGGGAAAGAAAAGCAGCAGGUUAAUACCCCGCUGUUCUGACGGUACCCAAAGAAUAAGCACCGGCUAACUUCGUG
rnacentral:rRNA from 1 species